rnacentral:rRNA from 1 species
GCUUGUCUCAAAGAUUAAGCCAUGCAUGUCUAAGUAUAAACAAAUCUAUACGUGAAACUGCGAAUGGCUCAUUAUAUCAGUUAUAGUUUAUUUGAUAGUCCCCACUACUUGGAUAACCGUAGUAAUUCUAGAGCUAAUACAUGCGUCAAGUCCGGACCGCGCGAGCGGGAAGGAUGUGUUUAUUAGAUACAACCAACCCUUCGGGUCAAUGGUGAAUCAUAAUAACUGACCGAACCGCAUUCUUCGGAGGCGGUGGUUCAUUCAAGUUUCUGCCCUAUCAGCUUUCGAUGGUAGGGUAUUGGCCUACCAUGGCGUUAACGGGUAACGGAGAAUUAGGGUUCGAUUCCGGAGAGGGAGCCUGAGAGAUGGCUACCACAUCCAAGGAAGGCAGCAGG